UAUAUAUAUGUACAUGUGCAUGCAUACAUGAAUGUAUGUGUUUUAUAUAUGUGUGUUAUAAAUAACAUACAUACAGAAAUAACAACAACAAAGUAAAAUAAUCUCCCUGUAUGCUACUUUUGUACAUAUCAGGGCACAGUAUCCUGAGUACUACAUGGCAGGAUUCUGUCAUUUUAAUAAAUACAUCCUUAAAAGAAAAAAAACAAAGUAUUUGAAUAUACCUCACUCACAAUAUUUUGUAUAAUUUUAUUUAUAGGCUUACUUCUUAUUUAAUCGUGAUGAAAACCUAGGUGUCAAAAAUUAGAAUUUAAAAAAAGAAAAGUGAUUGCUGUCUCUUCAUAAAUUAUGACAUAAUUUUCCAUUUUCACUACCAAAGAGGCUCAUGAACUCAUGGAAUAAUGCCCUCUGCUCCUGCUGACUCCCCAGUUAACAAGACACAAGGAUUAAAGUAAAGUACUCAUCUUUUUCUCAUCUUGUAAGGGAUGCUAAUGUUGGGAAGUUCAUGGAAACAUGAUUAAAUGGAAGUCAUCCUCUGCUGUACAAAGACAACGAGUGGAAGUUAUAAAACUGCUACUUCUAAAGGGAAGGACAAAGAAGAACAAAACUUUGGGAAAGAGUUUCUGUCAUUAAAUAUUUACCAUUUCAGCUCCAGAUUCAGGAAAGGUAAGCUCUGAGUCAUUACUUUUUAUUUUUAGUAUCCAAUCUACUUGGAAAUGAAUGGAAGGCAAUAACCUUCAAAUCUCUUCUGCAGUUGUAAGUUACAUGAAAUCAUUUAUUUGAAAAGCACCACGAGAUAAUGGAGGGUGCAUUGGGUUGGCCAGGUUCUGAUAGCAGGGAGGGCUACAGGGGUGGCUGCUGUGAGAAGCUGCUGGAAGCUUCCUCCGUGUCCAGCAGAGCCAAUUCCAGGUGGCUCCAGGACGGACCCACCACUGACCAGUGACAGUGAUUGUGCCUUGGGGAUAACAUAUUUAAGAAGGGGGACAAAAUGUGUACAGCAACAGCUAGAGAGGA